rnacentral:rRNA from 1 species
UACGAAGGGGGCUAGCGUUGUUCGGAAUUACUGGGCGUAAAGCGCACGUAGGCGGACUAUUAAGUCAGGGGUGAAAUCCCGGGGCCUCAACCCCGGAACUGCCUUUGAUACUGGUAGUCUCGAGUCCGGAAGAGGUGAGUGGAAUUCCGAGUGUAGAGGUAGAAAUUCGUAGAUAUUCGGGAGGAACACCAGUGGCGAAGGGCGGCUCACUGGUCCAUUACUGACGCUGAGGUGCGAAAGCGUGGGGAGCGAACAGG